CGGGGCGUAGCCUAGUGGCUAUGGCGCCUGCUUUGGGAGCAGGAUAUCGAAGGUUCGAGUCCUUUCGCCCCGACCU
rnacentral:tRNA from 1 species